rnacentral:rRNA from 1 species
UAUUGGUCAAUGGGCGGGAGCCUGAACCAGCCAAGUCGCGUGAGGGAGGACGGCCCUACGGGUUGUAAACCUCUUUUGCCGGGGGACAAACGGCGGCACGCGUGCCGUCCUGAGGGUACCCGGAGAAAAAGCAUCGGCUAACUCCGUGCCAGCAGCCGCGGUAAUACGGAGGAUGCGAGCGUUAUCCGGAUUUAUUGGGUUUAAAGGGUGCGUAGGCUGUGAGGUAAGUCAGCGGUGAAAUGCCCCCGCUCAACGGGGUGAAGUGCCAUUGAUACUGCCUUGCUGGAAUGCGGAUGCCGUGGGAGGAAUGUGUGGUGUAGCGGUGAAAUGCAUAGAUAUCACACAGAACACCGAUUGCGAAGGCAUCUCACGAAUCCGCGAUUGACGCUGAUGCACGAAAGCGUGGGUAUCAAACAGG